GUCCCAAAAUUCUUGUCUUAGAUUUGUCUAAAUACGGAUGUAUCAAGUCACGUUUUGGUAUUAGAUACAUCCGUAUCUAGACUAAUCUAAGACAAGAAUUUUGGGAC
rnacentral:pre_miRNA from 1 species